AUGNCAGCCCUACCAUGCNAGUCGAGCGGAUGAAGAGAGCUUGCUCUCUGAUUCAGCGGCGGACGGGUGAGUAAUGCCUAGGAAUCUGCCUGGUAGUGGGGGACAACGUUUCGAAAGGAACGCUAAUACCGCAUACGUCCUACGGGAGAAAGCAGGGGACCUUCGGGCCUUGCGCUAUCAGAUGAGCCUAGGUCGGAUUAGCUAGUUGGUGAGGUAAUGGCUCACCAAGGCGACGAUCCGUAACUGGUCUGAGAGGAUGAUCAGUCACACUGGAACUGAGACACGGUCCAGACUCCUACGGGAGGCAGCAGA
rnacentral:rRNA from 1 species